GUUAGGUUAAGUUAGGUUAGUUUAGUUUGUUAGGUUAAGUUAGGUUAGUUUGUUAAGUUAGGUUAGUUUGUUAAGUUAGGUUAGUUUGUUAAGUUAGGUUAGUUUGUUAAGUUAGGUUAGUUUGUUAAGUUAGGUUAGUUUGUUAAGUUAGGUUAGUUUGUUAAGUUAGGUUAGUUUGUUAAGUUAGGUUAGUUUGUUAAGUUAGGUUAGUUUGUUAAGUUAGGUUAGUUUGUUAAGUUAGGUUAGUUUGUUAAGUUAGGUUAGUUUGUUAAGUUAGGUUAGGUUAAGUUAGGUUAGUUUGUUAAGUUAGGUUAGUUUGUUAAGUUAGGUUAGUUUGUUAGGUUAGGUUAGUUUGUUAAGUUAGGUUAAGUUAGGUAAGGUCUUUUUAAUCUCUCGGCCACUUCUCUUCCCUCUCCUCCUUCCUUUUGCGUUUCUUCCUGACCUUUUCCUCCCUCCUGACCCCUUUCUCUUUCUCUCCCUUCCUCCCUCUCUCUCACCUCCGCGCAUCCACUCAUCACUCAAAAGGAAGCCAUCGGAGGAGGGAAAAAAGAGUUAAGGGAAGUGCCUGCAACUCUCUGGUCCAGCCCCGACGCCGCGGCUCCCUUCUCCGGCCUUUCCAGCAUCUCUUAAUUGCGCCCUGUCUUAAGUCUUCACGCGCCGACCUCUCUCCCGCCCUGACAGCAUCCUCGCUUUCUGCUAUCUUUCUUUCUCUGUUCUCUCUUUAUUCUUUUAUUCUUCCUUACUUUCUUCUCUAUCAUUCUUUA